rnacentral:rRNA from 1 species
AUUGAACGCUGGCGGCAGGCCUAACACAUGCAAGUCGAGCGGAUGAAGGGAGCUUGCUCCUGGAUUCAGCGGCGGACGGGUGAGUAAUGCCUAGGAAUCUGCCUGGUCGUGGGGGAUAACGUCCGGAAACGGGCGCUAAUACCGCAUACGUCCUGAGGGAGAAAGUGGGGGAUCUUCGGACCUCACGCUAUCAGAUGAGCCUAGGUCGGAUUAGCUAGUUGGUGGGGUAAAGGCCUACCAAGGCGACGAUCCGUAACUGGUCUGAGAGGAUGAUCAGUCACACUGGAACUGAGACACGGUCCAGACUCCUACGGGAGGCAGCAGUGGGGAAUAUUGGACGAUGGGGGAAAGCCUGAUCCAGCCAUGCGGCGUAUGUGAAGAAGGUCUUCGGAUUGUAAAGCAAUUUAAGUUGGGAGGAAGUGCAGUAAGUUAAUACCUGGCUGUUUUGACGUUACCAACAGAAUAAGCACCGGCUAACUUCGUG